UACAGAGGUCUCAAGCGUUGUUCGGAUUCAUUGGGCGUAAAGGGUGCGUAGGCGGCGCGGUAAGUCGGGUGUGAAAUCUCGGAGCUUAACUUCGAAACUGCAUUCGAUACUGCCGUGCUUGAGGACUGGAGAGGAGACUGGAAUUUACGGUGUAGCGGUGAAAUGCGUAGAUAUCGUAAGGAAGACCAGUGGCGAAAGGCGGGGUCUCUGGACAGUUCCUGACACUGAGACACGAAGGCCAGGGGGAGCAAACGGG
rnacentral:rRNA from 1 species